UUCACUGGGACAGAGCCAGCUUUUCCUUCCUGUUUUAAUUGGCAUUGAUCUGUUUAUUAUUCGUGAAGUUCUCUGGAGAAAAGACCAGCAAACUGAUCUCCUCUCUGAACAGCUGCGGAGCUGCUGCAAAUUCUACACGGCGGGACUGUGGUUCUCAAACAUCUAUUCACUCAUUCAUCAAGCAUUUGCUGAGGGCCUACUGUGUGCUUGGAAGCCCCCUGUUCUUGAGGGACUCGCAUCACAGUGGGGAAGACAGACUGUAAAUGUGACAUGGGAGGUGCUGGCUGAAAGAAGUCUCCAAGAAGAUGGUACCUGGUUUAACCCUAGGUCUUCUGACCCGACCUGGGCUCUUUCCACUCGCCUGUCUCCAUCUGCCAGGGCUUUCCAAGUCAGAAGCAGUGGGUGGAGAACCCAAAGCAGCUAUUGCCUCUGGACAGCAAAGAUAUCUUUUGAUAUUCAAUGAAUUGGAGCAAGAAUUGUGCUGUUAUAAUCAAUUAACUAUGAAGUUUUAGCCCAUUGGCUGGAACUGAGUGGCAUCUGCUGUUAUUGACUUUCGUUUGAGGCUGUCGGUGCACUUAAGCCCUCAGUGCAUGGAAGAGUCUGGCUGGCCAGCAGAAUAAAGGAGUGAUUGCCUGUCCACUUCAUCAGGUUUUAAAUGAUGCAAGAAAAAUAUUCACUACAGGAGAAUGCUGCUGAUUAUUAAUGAAUCUACUUUUUCAUUAAAGUGAGUCCAGCAGGACUUAUACUGGGAAAUACUUAGAAUUAACAGAGUUAUGUGUUUGAGAUAAAAAUAAAAAGACAGAGCCCUUGAAGAGAAGAAAAUGCCUAUGAAUAAAACACCUGGGAAAAGUGUGGUUUUGUUGUGAGUCCCCUGGAGGCCCAUGGGCUGCUGCCUCACCAGCUCUGGCAACAAGUACGGGAUGAUUUCAGUGAUAUAACAAAGGAGAACAGGCUUCUCCUCUGUGGAAAAAUAUGACGUGUGUGUCCACAUGAUAAAAAAAAUCUGUGUUAGUUUGAACUUCUUCCAUUGCUUCUUAAAUAGCUUUAUUGAGAUAUAAUCACAGACCAUAAAAUCUACAAUUUAAAGUGUACAACUCAUUGGUUGUUGGUGUAUUCACAGUUGUGCAGCUGCCUGCACAGUUUGAAUUUAAAUGGUUGUCAUCACCCCAGAAAGAAACUCCACCCUUUAGCAUCACUCUCCCACAUCUGUAUCCCCAGCCCCAGGGAACCACCAUUUGGUUCUCUGCGUUUGCCUGUUUCUGGACAUGGCAUGUAAUAGGAGUAAAGUGUUCUUUGUGUCUGGGUUCUUCCUCUCAGUGUAAUGUCACUGAAGUUCAUCCACGCAACAGUAUUUCAUUCCUUUCUAUUGAGAGAAGCAGUACUCCACUGUAGGGAUGUAUCACAUCUUUACCCUUUUAUCAGUUGAUGCACAUUUGAUUUUCAUUUUUUGUUUAUUGCGAAUAAUACUGCUAUGAACAUUUGGGCCCACAUGUUAUGUGGGACAAUGUUUUUAUUUCUCUUACAUGUGUACUCAAGAGUAGAGAUCUAGGCCACAUGUGAUUUCUUGUGUAACACUGUGAAGACUGCCAAAAUGUUUUCCAAAGUAACUGCACCAUUUUACAUUUUCACCAGCAAUGCAUGAGAGUUCUAGUUUGUCCAAGUCUUUGUCAAUACUUGUUAUUGUCUGUUUCUUUUUUAUUAUAGUCACCCCAGUGGGCAUGAAGUUGUGCUCCCUUGAUAAUUAGUGAUGUAGAACAUCUUUUCCAAUGCUUUUUGGCCAUUCAUUUAUCUUCUUUGGAUACUUGUCUACUCAAAUCCUUUGCCCUUUUUUUUUUGUUACCAGGGAUCGAACUCGGGACCUUGUGCUUGCGAGGCAGGCAGUGGAACCAGUGAGCUAAAUCCCCAGCCUGCCUUUGCCCAUUUUUAAUUGGGUUACUUGUCUUUUGUUUUUGUUUUUUUUUUGGUACUGGGGAUUGAACUUGGGUCCUUGCGUUUGCAAGCCAGGUGGCAGGCGACAGAACCACUGAGCUAAAUCCCGGCCCAACUUGUCUUUUUAUUAUUGAGUUUAAGAGUUCUUUAUAUAGUCUGGAUACAAGUCUUUUGUCAUAUACAGAACUUUCUAAUAUUUUCCCUCAUUCUGUGGUUUACUUUUACCCUUUUUGGUACUGUUGUUUGCAGCACAAAAAUUUUAAAUUUUACAAAGUCCAAUUUAUCUAUUUUUUCUUUUUGUGUGUAUGCUUUUGAUGCUAUAUGUAAGAAACCUCUACAUAACUCAAGAUCACAAAGAUUCGCUUUAUGCCUUUUUUUUCCUGAGUUUUAUUAUUUUAACUCUUCCAUUUAUGUCUGUGAUCACUUUGAGCUGAUUUUAUGUAUGGUGAGAGGGUUCAAAUCUACUCUUUUAUUUGUGGAUAUCCAGUUGUCUUCUACCGUUUGUUGAAAACUUGAUUCUUUUCCCCAUUUAAUUAUCUUGCUACUUUUGUGGAAAAUCAGCUGAUCAUAAGUGACAGGGCUUAUUUCUGGGCACUUAAUUCCAUUCCAUUAUAUUUUCCUUCUGCCAGGACCAUGCUGUUUUGAUUGCUAUAGCUGUAGAGUAAGUUUGAAAUUGGGAAGUGUGAGAUCUUCAACUUUAUGUUGUUUUGGCUAUCCUAGGCCCCUUGCCUUUCAUAUGAAUUUUAGGAUCAGCUUAUCAAGUUUUGCAAAAAAACGCCAGUUGGGAUUUUGGCAGAGAUUAUUUUAAUUCAAUAGAUGAAUUU
rnacentral:lncRNA from 1 species